AGAGAGAGGGGGCUUAUAAAUAAAGUGUUUGUAUCAGUUUCAUUGUCAUCCUUUUCUCUAACAAAACAAAAGUAAAUUGAAUUAUAUAUACUUAUCUUUUUCCAUUUGUAUAUAUGUAAGGUUCAAAUAAUCCUAACAGUACCAUAAAGACCGAGUAGCUAGCUCAGCGCUUGCAAGAUUUGUUGUUGCCUAUCACUAUUGUGACGAGAAUUGUGAACAAAACAUUUUCAAUGCAUUCAACAAUCAAUGACGACGCAGUAGAGGCGAUUCAAAAAAUCAUGAGCUAUUUCAUUCAGCGUAUCACCAUAAAAGCUAAUGAAUACUGUCACAUGAUUAAAAGAAAGAUUGUGACUGCUGAAGAUAUUCUUUGGGCUAUAAACAAUGUUGGUUUGAAUAACUAUAUGGAGUUUCUAACCGAUUACCUCCACAAGUAUCAUAGAGAGAAUUCUAUGCACUAUUUGAGGCCUACUAUUGUUCUACCCAGUACACCAUCAUCUCUAAUUUUGCCCAUGAAUAGUGUACCAAUGAUGAGUUAAGUGUACGCACAAUUUUCACCAAAUGUGUUGCUUAAUGAUUCUGUUGCAGCUGUCAUGACAAAUGUCAGGAACGAAAAUAUGGUGGCGGAGAAUGAUGAAGAUCCCGAUAGUUCUGAGUCAUCUUCUUCUUGAACUGCAACUAACUAGCGCUUGCCUAUGAACAAUUUAAUCCAGCUGGAAUAUGUUUUAUGCUUUAUGGAUUGAACUUUAUUUGAAGUAUUGUAUGAACAAUUAGUUUCUUAUUUUCUUUUUAAUUGUUUGUGCUUCUAAGUGUCCUUGUUAAGAAUAACAACUCUAUGUUAUAUAUUAGUAAGCUACCUAUGUUUUAAUAAGUGCUUCUUCUGUUUCUUUUAGUUGUCGGGAUAAGGUGUUGCACAUUCUUUUAGAAAAAGUUAAUUGAAUGUGUGAUUUAAUUAACGUAUCUCUUAUUAA